rnacentral:tRNA from 1 species
GGAGAGGUGGCAGAGUGGCCGAAUGCGCCUCAUUGCUAAUGAGGUGUGCGAUCAAAAGUUGCACCGCGGGUUCGAAUCCCGCCCUCUCCGCCA